AAAAUUAAAUUUGCAUGUUAUAUGACUGCGUACAACUUGGAGCAGGAUCGCAUUGUUUACUAUCUGUACUACUCCAGACCCAGCCCCAGACCCCAGCUCCCGGCCCUAGCCCCCAUCCAGUCUCCGUACGGGUACAUCUGUGAAGUUAGCCAGCCAACUUCAGCUUUAACAAUUUUCACCAAUUGGUAUCGUUUGGUGGUCGUUUGGUGGUGUUUGGUGGUCCAGUCCCAUCGUUUGGUGGUUAGCCGUUCUCUUGUAAUAUCAAAAAUAAAAUUUGAGUGUGAAGUUAGCCCGACAUUGUUUAUUUUUGCACCAAUUUUAAUUUCAAGUAGCUCAUUCGAUUCGGAAUCGUUUGGUGGUCACGAAUAUGCUAAUGAAAUCGUUUGGUGGUCAACCGUUUUCGUAGAAAUUAGAAAAAAUCGUUUUUGAGUAUUUCUAGUUUUGGUAACACUGGAAAUUCCCCAAAUAAAUAUUAAUUAUGAUACAAAUUCACUUUUAAAGGCGUUAUCAGAUGUAAAAUCGUUUGGUGGUCACGAAUAAACUAACGAAAACGUUUGGUAGUCAACCGUUUUCGUAGAAAUUAGAAAAAAGUUUUUGAGGGUAAGGAGCCAAAAUCCAUAAAAAAACUAGGGGAGAAUGUUGGCAAUGAUGGAAAAUCUCUAGAAUCUAUAAAUUUAUUUCUGAAGUUGACAACACUGUGGUGCUUUUGGGAGUAGCAUGGGAUGCGUGUAGUGCAGAACCGUGAUUGUGACAGAUGGUGUAUGAAAGACCAAAAUAACCUCGCGGAGAUGACAGAGAUUUUCCAUCAUUGCCAACAUUCUCCCCUAGUUUUUUAUGGAUUUUGGCUCCUUACCGUUUUUGAGUAGCAUCAUGCAAAUUUCCCCAAACGAAUAUUAUUUUUCAUACAAUUUCACUUUCAAAGGCGUUAUUGGAUGUAAAAUCGUUUGGUGGUCACAAAUAUAUUAAUUAAAACGUUUGGUGGUCCACCGUUUUUUUUAAUAUUACCAAAAAAAUGCUUCCCAAUGGCUUUGCUGUUGUAACGUCCCAGCGUCCGGAAAAUUUUGUCCAAAAGUUUUCUCGCGAAACUUGUCCAGAUGCAUGCGCGCUGAGUUACCUUACUCAGUAAUGCGUUUCUAUGGCUCAUUCUUACUUUCGUUUAAGUCGUCAUUAUAUAAUAAUAAUUCAAAUAUUAAGCACUUAAUCGUACUUUAAAAUUACGUACAUAUAUAUAUAAAAAUCAUAUAUUACAUAUAUGUAUACUUUAAGUUAUCUAGCAUUAUCUUAACUCUCUUAUCGGUACGAACGCAUAGGCAAUCGGAUCGUUUAAACUUCUAAAUUCUUACUCUCGUAUUGCUUAUGGGUUCGUCGAGGAUUAAUUAACUGUAAGAUAAAUAAGAACCGGAUAUUUGUAAAGGCCCUUGCACGUGCACUGUCGGAUGAUUAAAGAAAUGAUAUCUCGUCAACUGAAUCCUCAAAGAUUCAAACGGAACGGUUCUAAAACAAAAUCUGCUAUUAUCAACACGACGGCGACAGGAUGUCGCGCCUAAAGAAAUACAAUACGAAAUUAAUCCGCGUAAUAUCCGGACUGCGUGUCGGAAGAUCAGGUGAACCAUAGCUAGGCAUUUAACAUAAACAGUUCGUAAGAUAUAUCCAUUUCACGUUGGCGACGAGAUGUCGCGCCCAAGAAAUAAUUAAGAUUGAUAAACCGGCGAGAUAUUUGGUAGUGAAAGCGAUCCUAGCCGAAAAAUAUCCCGGAUCAAAUGAUCGACGAAAUCCUAGACGAGAUAUCUCCGAUAAACAUCCGCACACGUGCAAACGGUCUCACGCGCCUUAUCAGCGACCCCCGAAACUCGGUUCCCGCCAAGCCGCCGAAUCACUCCCACUCUUACCGACUCUUGCGCUUCGCGCGUGUUCCCUACUCCGGAGUGCUAGCGGCCGCUGAGCGCAGCGCCGAUUUUGCUCGAUCCCUUUGUCCGCGCCCUAUUUAAAUCCGCGCACAGACGCCGGAUCAUUCAUUCACUCACUAUUUUUCGACACUCGUUCAGUACACUUAUUAGUUCAGUCAUUAGUUCUCGGUCACGCGUCACUCUUCAAUCUUCAAGUUAUCUGCAACCUCUCUCGUACUUCGCGAUCAACUCAUUGUUAAUUAAGUUAACCAGUGCGUGCUCCGACAGACUGCUAUCACCAACAUAUCUCUGCGACCAUCUUCAACUGUCAACCCACAUCAACCAUUUAAUUAUUAGUGGACCAAACUAUUGCUUCAAACUAUAUUAUAACUCGUGAGUACUAAUUAAUUAUUGUUUACUAUCGCUCCCUAGAAUAUUUUCCGAAAUUGAACUGUGCCAUAUUAUAAGGAAUCCUUGCGAUAAGGAUUAAUUGUCGAUCCAUUUCCAAAUAAUUAUAAACAACUCCUCUAGGUACAACCCUCUCCCCUCCCUUGUGCCGCGAUAAAUUCUACAACACCUAAAGUGAGUAGACUCAGUGAUUAAAACAUCGUCGGUGAAAUUAGAAAAGCCGGUAUAUUCGUGCUCAACGAAACUGUAGAUUCCGCUAGCGAGCGUUCUAUCGCUUGCCAGCGACAUAAGUGAACAAAACUGUAGAUUCCGCUAGCGAGCGUUCUAUCGCUUGCCAGCGACAUAAGUGAACAAAACUGUAGAUUCCGCUAGCGAGCGUUCUAUCGCUUGCCAGCGAUAUAAGAACAAAACCGUAGAUUCCGCUAGCGAGCGUUCUAUCGCUUGCCAGCGAUAUAAGUUAGUUAAUCAUUCACAAGCACGAAUAUACUCGACGGCCCUAAUUUCCCUUGACGCAGAAAGAUGCUUAACUAAGCGUUCACUCGCUUAACCAAGCGUUUAUUUGUAGACCAUCAAGAAGAAUCGCCACCGCGCUGGAAAAAAGAAAAGAGCAAAAAUCCUCAAGGCUCAACAAAAAGCCCUAGAGCGGGCUUUCGAGGAGAUUGAGAAUUUCGUGGGCUACCCGCUGGAACACACCCCCCUUCCUCCUCCAGUCACAGACGCUCCGCCAGGAAGAGCAAUCUCUUCCCUUGAUCUGUUCCAAGAAGACACCGUCCCUUUGGAAAACUAUAACCAGUUAACGUCUAACGCGCCCGAAAUAAUCACGCUUAGCGAUUCCGAUCACGAUUCUCCGGAGUUGGAACCUUUAGAUCCAACUGCGGAAUACCAUAGCGAUGCAGUAGCACAGAUUAUUAUAUUUCCUCCAGAGAAUUAAAUAAUACAUGUAAUAAUCCUAUACGUUGUUUUAUUAAUAAAUAUAUACAUAUAUAUAUA